CAGGAUCUUUUUUUUUUUUGCAGCUAUUAAAUGCUCGGUUACAGCAAUUACAAGAUCUCAGGAGGAAUGGGGGAAUCUGGGGAGGGAAAUCUCCCCAACUGGCCUUCGACCGAAUUGCCGAUCCUGCGGGCUGGAGAAAGGCUCGAAUCAUCCCAUUGGCCUGGAAUAAAAAGGAAGACAGGCGUUCUCUCCACACCUGGGAGAGUGGAAUCUGCAAGGGCUUAGAAACCCUCCAGUCAAUUUGUCAGAAUUUCCAUUUGCCGCCUCCACGGGACACAACUAUCUGUUGAAGGAACCCACAGCAUCGAUUGCAGGAACCAUACAGAAUGGCAUCUAAAAACCAAGUUAGAAUGGGAGAAGCUACUAAACCCAGUUUAAGGGCGUCAUCCCCUUGGAUGCCUAUUAUUGGACAGUCAUCUCUGGACACAUGUACAAAAUGGGAAAACCUUCCAUGGACGAGCUACACAAAAAAGCUUGUUUUUCAAGGAAUUAAGAAACAUGCAGAAAAAAAUAGCAAAUGUUUUUGUAGGAUUUAGGUGGGCUAAAUAAUCGGCAGGCUAAAAAUAUAGGGUAAUGCAUGUUUACGGUAGAUUUAGCAUUUCUAAGCUCCAAACCCCUUCUAGAUAUUUUAACACCACCAGCCCCAAUAAUCCUCCCAUCUGUCCUACAGGAAAUCGAGACGUUUAUAUAAAGAAGAUUCUGCAGAAUUAAUGGGGAGGUUUUCCAAUUAUUAUGCAGGGAAUUUCAUGUUUAGAAGUGACAAAAUAGAAGCUCCUUCCAAGGAUUGCCUUUUUACAACUAGUCAUUCUAAAGGUACCAGCAAUUUUUCAAAUGAUUAUUGUGUGUUAACAUUUAGAAACUACACAUCCAAGCCUACCUUCAAGCAUGCUUAAAUCUUGGCUUGAACACCCAGGAGUGGGACAAAGCACCCCAUUACACAGGGGGUUGAGGGCCUCUGAACAAUUUGCUCUUUAUCAGUAAAAUAGUUUACCUUAUCAACCUGCAACUCCAAAACCUAGUUAUAUAAUUCUUUAAGCACCAAUGAGACCAACAGCUGAAUUUUUGCAAAACUAUGCUAACCACAGCUAGCCACAAAGCUUGACCCCAUGAAAGCUAGCUUGUUGGAUCUGCUGGCAAAUGGGUUUUCCCCCUCUCCAACUAGUCUGCCAUAUUUCCUAUAACCUUUCUUCAGAAGCUGCAGAAAUAGCACUCAUCUAUUAAGACACUUAGCUCUGCAGCUCAUUUCAUAAGGACAAACUAGGAUCCUCAUGGACUGCUUCGCCACCUGUUGCUCAACCCUUAUUAUUUAGGUAGCCAGCUUUGUUUAAAGGAGCAUAUAGCUGAUUUCAUAUGCUGCCAAAAACGUUUCUCAGCCUAUUUAGAGAGGGGGGGAGCUGAAUGCUAUACUUUCAAAGCUCAGUCUUUGAGCAGUACUGUCUUAUUGUGGCUUCUGACAAACAAAAUAGAUCAGCUUUCUAUAUUAAAUGUGGGAGUGACUUGAACGUGGAUUUAAAAAAAAAAAAAAAAGCCCUGUAAAUUGAGGAAUACUUAACUAUUCUGCAGAAAAUAAACAAUGAAAAGUAACUUCAAUAUUAUAAACUAAAUCAAGAACACUUUAGACUUAAUUCUGUAUUAAUACGUAAAUCUUUUAAUACAUUAGCCUGUUAAACUGGGGGAAAGAUGUUUAUUAUUGAAAAACUGGUUACCUCAUUAAAUGUUAUGGCAAUUGAAGAAAUAUAUAAGUGAUGAAAAUUUGAGUUCGAGAAGAUGGACUGUAAUUUGAGAAAUGGAUUUAUGAAAUUUGAAGGAAUAUACAAGUGGAAAAAAAAUUGAAUCUGAGAAGAUGGAUUAAUUUUAAAAAUGGACUGUAAGAAGUAAUAAUAUGUGAAGUUGGUAUUGCUUUUCUUUUUAUUAUUCUUUCCUAUCUCUUUAUUUUUAUUGUGAGGGGAUCUAAAGUUUCAAAUUUUUAAAGGUGGGAGGUUAUGUAUAUUUUGUAUACUUUAGCUUGUGAUUGUUGGUCAUAAUACUCGGUAUUUGCUCUGGGAAGUCUGGGGGGGGGAGGGAAAGGAGGGGGGAAAUGAUACAUGGAUUAUUAAUGUACAGUAAUUUUUGAAGAUAUGAAAUUAAAAUUUAAAGUGAUAUUGGGGAUGCUCGACUGCCAUUUCAGAAAGAAAAGGAGAGAGGAGUAGGAGGGAAGAAAGUAGGUAGGAAAGAGUAGAGAAGGAGGAGGGGAAUAAGAAGGUUAGAUAGGGUGGAAGAAGGGAGUGGAGAAGGAGGGGAAGUAGUAAAGUGAAGGAGAUGAAGGAUGGGAAAGAGGGUAGAGAGGGAGGUUGUGAAGAAAGGAAGUGGCAAUCGGGCAGGCCUGAAUUAGUAAUAAAUAAAAAUUAAUGAAUGAUGAAUAAUAGUUUGUACAUAAAUAUGAUGUUGGAAAAUGGAAAUAAAAAUUAUUUAAAAAAAUAAAUAACUGGUUACCUAACUGCAUUUUGCCAUGUCUCGUUUGAAAGUCAACUCUUAAGCAAAGAGAAAGUACUUGUGGGACUCAUUU